UUCGAUUUAGCUAAGUGGUUAAAGCCUUUCACUGUCAUUGAAAUUUCAUGAGUUCGAUUCUCAUAACCGAAA
rfam:Capsaspora owczarzaki ATCC 30864 unplaced genomic scaffold supercont2.13, whole genome shotgun sequence.